UACGAAGGGGGCUAGCGUUGCUCGGAAUCACUGGGCGUAAAGGGCUCGUAGGCGGCCAACUAAGUCGGAUGUGAAAUCCCCAGGCUCAACUUGGGAACUGCAUCCGAUACUGGAUGGCUUGAAUUCGGGAGAGGGAUGCAGAAUUCCAGGUGUAGCGGUGAAAUGCGUAGAUAUCUGGAGGAAUACCGGUGGCGAAGGCGGCAUCCUGGACCGACAUUGACGCUGAGGAGCGAAAGCUAGGGGAGCAAACGGG
rnacentral:rRNA from 1 species